UAAUAUAUAGUUUUUGUUCAUGAUAUCAACAAGUGCCCCUGGUGCAAAUCUUGGUGGUAGUAGCAAAUAUUCAAAUGAGAACUUUGAAGAGUGAAGUAGGGAAAUUUUCCAUGUGAACAUCACUUGGACAUGGGUUAAUCGAUCCUAAGAUAUGGGGAAUCCUUGUAUCAAGGGUGCACUCUGCAUGAACAUCGAAAGAGAAUUGGGUUAAUAUUCCCGAACCGGGAUAUGGUGGCAGACGACAAUGUUAGGAAAUCUGGAGAUGUCAUCAAGGGCCUGGGAAGAGUUAUCUUUUCUUUUUAACAACUUUCCCACAUUGAAAUCGGUUCAACCAGAGAUAGGGUCCAACAUCUGGAAGAGAACCACAUGUCUUGUGGUGUUUGGUGCCCCCUCGGUGGCAAUUGAAAAUAUGGAGAACCGAGUACCAUCCAUGCUUGAUCAUACUCAUAUUUGCCUCCUUGGAUUUUGUAAUGCCCACUA
rnacentral:ncRNA from 1 species